rnacentral:rRNA from 1 species
GAUGAACGCUGGCGGCGUGCCUAAUACCUGCAUGUCGAGCGAAGCGGUGACGGGUGCGUAACACGUGGAUAACCUCCUAUCAUGCUUGGAUAACUUCGGGAAACCGGCGAUAAACCGGAUAAUUAUAGAUUGAUCCGCGCUGCAUUAGCUAGUUUGUCAGGUAACGGCUUACCAAGGCAACUCUGCAUAGCCGACCUGAGAGGGUGAUCGGCCACUCUGGAACGGAGAGACGGUCCAGACUCCUACGUGAGGCAGAAGUAGGGAAUCUUCCGCAAUGGGCGAAAGCCUGACGGAGAAACGCCGAGUAAGUGAUGAAGGUCUUCGGAUCGUAAAACUCUGUUAUGAGGGAAGCGGGACCUAAGCAGAAAGCCACGGCGAACUACGUGCCAGCAGGGGCGGUAAUUC